rnacentral:misc_RNA from 1 species
CGAUGCACUAUGUCAUCUGGAUGCCCAGUCCGGAAACAGGUACAAAGGUGUGCGGAGGACCAUGCAGUCCUUAUAACAACUUAUGAAGGUCAUCACAACCAUCCACUCCCUCCAGCAGCAACGGGCAUGGCAUCUACUACAUCAGCAGCAGCUUCAAUGCUACUUUCGGGGUCUAUGCCUAGUCCUGACGGGCUAAUGACCACAAAUUUAUUAGCAAAAACUUUACCUUGCCCUCCAGGCUUCGCAACACUUUCAGCUUCAGCUCCA